AUCUAAUUUUGCAUUGUUAUUUUGCUUGAAUUUAGGAAAGCUAGAAGCUUUUAAAGUGAUUUCCUAAAUUCAAGCAAAACAACAAUGGAAAAUCAGACG